UCCAGAGUGGUGUAGUGGUUUGAGUGUUAGACUAUGAUUCUAGAAAUCAGGGUUCAAAACCCACUGGUU